rnacentral:rRNA from 1 species
GAUGGCGACUUAAACCCUCGCCAGAGUAACAAUUGGAGGGCAAGUCUGGUGCCAGCAGCCGCGGUAAUUCCAGCUCCAAUAGCGUAUAUUAAACUUGUUGCAGUUAAAAAGCUCGUAGUUGAAUUUCUGCGUUGCGUUWUUCUUGCUUUUUGCUUGACUUUCGCUUCGCUUUUUUGUUUUACUUUGAGAAAAUUAGAGUGUUUAUCGCAGACUUUUGUCUUGAAUACUUCAGCAUGGAAUAAUAGAGUAGGACCUUGGUUCUAUUUUGUUGGUUUUUGAGCCUUGGUAAUGGUUAAUAG